GUGGGGAAUCUUAGACAAUGGGCGCAAGCCUGAUCUAGCCAUGCCGCGUGAGCGAUGAAGGCCUUAGGGUUGUAAAGCUCUUUCGUGGGGGAAGAUAAUGACUGUACCCCAAGAAGAAGCCCCGGCUAACUCCGUGCCAGCAGCCGCGGUAAUACGGAGGGGGCUAGCGUUGUUCGGAAUUACUGGGCGUAAAGCGCACGUAGGCGGACUGGAAAGUCAGGGGUGAAAUCCCGGGGCUCAACCCCGGAACUGCCUUUGAAACUCCCAGUCUUGAGUUCGAGAGAGGUGAGUGGAAUUCCGAGUGUAGAGGUGAAAUUCGUAGAUAUUCGGAGGAACACCAGUGGCGAAGGCGGCUCACUGGCUCGAUACUGACGCUGAGGUGCGAAAGCGUGGGGAGCAAACAGGAUUAGAACCCGGGUAGUCC
rnacentral:rRNA from 1 species